rnacentral:rRNA from 1 species
AGUGAACGCUGGCGGUGGGCCUAACACAUGCAAGUCGAACGAGUGGAGGACGGGUGGGGGAUACAGCGGAAUCUACCCUGUCGUCGGGGAUAAGGGGGGGAAACUUACGCUAAUACCGCAUACGGUUGCAUGAGCCGCGGUCGGAUUAUCUAGUUGGCGGGGUAAAGGCCCACCAGGGCGACGCUCCGUAGCUGGUCUGAGAGGCUGAUCAGCCACACUGGAACUGAGACACGGUCCAGACUCCUACGGGAGGCAGCAGUAGGGAAUAUUGGACAAUGGGCGCAAGCCUGAUCCAGCCAUACCGCGUGGGUGAAGAAGGCCUUCGGGUUGUAAAGCCCUUUUGUUGGGAAAGCGGUACCCAAAGAGUAAGCACCGGCUAACUUCGUGCCAGCAGCCGCGGUAAUUC